CGUGUAGCCGGGAAGGCAAGUCAGAUGUGAAAUCCACGGGCUUAACUCGUGAACUGCAUUUGAAACUGUUUUUCUUGAGUAUCGGAGAGGCAAUCGGAAUUCCUAGUGUAGCGGUGAAAUGCGUAGAUAUUAGGAGGAACACCAGUGGCGAAGGCGGAUUGCUGGACGACAACUGACGCUGAGGCACGAAAGCGUGGUAGCAAACA
rnacentral:rRNA from 1 species